UACGAAUGGAGCGAGCGUUGUUCGGAAUCACUGGGCGUAAAGCGUGCGCAGGCGGUUGUGAAAGUUAGAAGUGAAAGCCCAGGGCUCAACCUUGGAAUUGCUUUUAAAACUUCACAACUAGAGUACUGGAGAGGUUAGCGGAAUUCCGAGUGUAGAGGUGAAAUUCGCAGAUAUUCGGAGGAACACCAAUGGCGUAGGCAGCUAACUGGACAGUAACUGACGCUCAUGCACGAAAGCGUGGGGAUCAAACAGG
rnacentral:rRNA from 1 species